AACGAACGCUGGCGGCAGGCUUAACACAUGCAAGUCGAACGCCCCGCAAGGGGAGUGGCAGACGGGUGAGUAACGCGUGGGAACGUGCCCUUCGCUUCGGAAUAGCCCCGGGAAACUGGGAGUAAUACCGGAUACGCCGUAUUGGGAAAGAUUUAUCGGCGAAGGAUCGGCCCGCGUUGGAGUAGCUAGUUGGAGGUGUAAUGGACCCCCAAGGCUACGAUCCAUAGCUGGUCCCAGAGGAUGAUCAGCCACACUGGGACUGAGACAGGGCCCAGGCACCUACGGGAGGCAGCAGUGGGGAAUUUUGCACAAUGGGCGCAAGCCUGAUCCAGCCAUGCCGCGUGAGUGAAGAAGGCCUUAGGGUUGUAAAACUCUUUCGCCGGAGAAGAUAAUGACGGUAUCCGGAGAAGAAGCCCCGGCUAACUUCGUGCCAGCCGCCGCCGUAACAC
rnacentral:rRNA from 1 species